rnacentral:rRNA from 1 species
GACGAACGCUGGCGGCGUGCCUAAUACAUGCAAGUAGAACGCUGAAGGAGGAGCUUGCUUCUCUGGAUGAGUUGCGAACGGGUGAGUAACGCGUAGGUAACCUGCCUGGUAGCGGGGGGUAACUAUUGGAAACGAUAGCUAAUACCGCAUAAGAGUAGAUGUUGCAUGACAUUUGCUUAAAAGGUGCAAUUGCAUCACUACCAGAUGGACCUGCGUUGUAUUAGCUAGUUGGUGGGGUAACGGCUCACCAAGGCGACGAUACAUAGCCGACCUGAGAGGGUGAUCGGCCACACUGGGACUGAGACACGGCCCAGACUCCUACGGGAGGCAGCAGUAGGGAAUCUUCGGCAAUGGACGGAAGUCUGACCGAGCAACGCCGCGUGAGUGAAGAAGGUUUUCGGAUCGUAAAGCUCUGUUGUAAGAGAAGAACGAGUGUGAGAGUGGAAAGUUCACACUGUGACGGUAUCUUACCAGAAAGGGACGGCUAACUACGUG